AUUGAACGCUGGCGGCAUGCCUUACACAUGCAAGUCGAACGGCAGCACGGGAGCAAUCCUGGUGGCGAGUGGCGAACGGGUGAGUAAUAUAUCGGAACGUGCCCGGUCGUGGGGAUAACGUAGCGAAAGCUACGCUAAUACCGCAUACGAUCUACGGAUGAAAGCGGGGGAUCGCAAGGACCUCGCGCGAUUGGAGCGGCCGAUAUCAGAUUAGGUAGUUGGUGGGGUAAAGGCUCACCAAGCCAACGAUCUGUAGCUGGUCUGAGAGGACGACCAGCCACACUGGAACUGAGACACGGUCCAGACUCCUACGGGAGGCAGCAGUGGGGAAUAUUGGACAAUGGGCGAAAGCCUGAUCCAGCCAUGCCGCGUGUGUGAAGAAGGUCUUCGGAUUGUAAAGCACUUUAAGUUGGGUAGGAAGGGUAGUAACCUAAUACGUUGCUACGUUGACGUUACCGACAGAAUAAG
rnacentral:rRNA from 1 species